rnacentral:rRNA from 1 species
AGUGAACGCUGGCGGUAGGCCUAACACAUGCAAGUCGAACGGCAGCACAGUAAUAGCUUGCUCUUACGGGUGGCGAGUGGCGGACGGGUGAGGAAUACAUCGGAAUCUACUUUUUCGUGGGGGAUAACGUAGGGAAACUUACGCUAAUACCGCAUACGACCUACGGGUGAAAGCAGGGGAUCUUCGGACCUUGCGCGAUUGAAUGAGCCGAUGUCGGAUUAGCUAGUUGGCGGGGUAAAGGCCCACCAAGGCGACGAUCCGUAGCUGGUCUGAGAGGAUGAGCAGCCACACUGGAACUGAGACACGGUCCAGACUCCUACGGGAGGCAGCAGUGGGGAAUAUUGGACAAUGGGCGCAAGCCUGAUCCAGCCAUACCGCGUGGGAGAAGAAGGCCUUCGGGUUGUAAAGCCCUUUUGUUGGGAAAGAAAAGCAGCAGGUUAAUACCCCGCUGUUCUGACGGUACCCAAAGAAUAAGCACCGGCUAACUUCGUGC